AGUUGAUGUAAAAUAUUAAUAUGUUGAAGGCGUUUUUAACCAUUAAUUUAAUUAAGUUUCCCUUCAUUAGUUAGUUUAUUUUCUCAUUAAACUUCUGAUAAUGAUACUUUAAUUUGGCAAUGCAUUCAUCAGUCAUCUAUAAAUCUUUUAAACUCUGGUAAUCCCAACCCUGAUUGACCGAGCUGUAAACAAACAGUUUACUUGAGGAACCCGUUUGAGGUAUGACCAGGAUUCUUACCUGUUAUCUUGCUUUUACCAUUUCUCUGUAUGGGACUGUUUGCUUUACUGUAUGAUGGCUUGAAAUACAAAAAAUUGAUCACUGUAAAAUUCAAAGUAACGUUCAUCAAAAUUAUCCAGAUUUUAAAUGGAUAAGAUAAAGAUGAUAAAGCGUGAUGGUUGAUCUAGCAGAGACACUUUCGUGUGGCCCAGAUUUACCUCAAUUACGAUCUAUACGUGCAACUGAAGUACAGCAAAAAAAAGCUAAAAGAUGAAUUGGAGGCCAACAAAUUUUACCAUUAUUUCAACUAAAGGGAGGAAAUUCUGACCAAUUUAAUUGGAGUGGUGAAAGCAGAAGGCAUAAAAAAGAUUAGUCCUUUAAAAUGAGUUAUAUACUGGUUCGUUUAAUAAUCCCGUUUUAUUUGUUUAUUUAUACUUUUGAAUGGAUUUUACAGUUUGGGCCAAUCCCAUGAUAUUUAUAAACAUCAACAGCUACUUCAAAGGCUAGCCAAACAAUGGGUCUAUGCGAAGGCGUUCAUCUCCAUUCUUGGAUCAUCUUAAAGUCGAGGAAGAACAUCAUUGGUCCCUUUCGCAUAAAAAAAGUGAAAGUUUUGUGAAUCUUACACCAUACUGUUCUCAGAUGAAAGCUUUCAUCUGCCAUCAUCUCUACUCGUCUCAUUUACUUCAUUCAACUAACAUCUUUCCCUUGUUCUCCCAUCAUUUAACUUUCCUAAAUUUGACUCUUCAACUUGACUUAAAAUUUAUGUUUAUCAUUCCUCUCCCUCAUCUUGUACUAAAUUCAUCUCUAACUCAUCUCUCUUUCAUCCAUUUCUCAGCCUUUUCUGUGAAAUCCUUCCAAACUCAUUUGGCCAACCUCACUGUCAGUCAGUCAAUCACCUCUUGCUGUAUUUCACAGGAUUUUCACCUUCUUAAGAUGCUCCUUUUUACUCAUAUCUUUCUCCAACUAUUUCAACUGUUUCUUUUCAUCUUUCUCUUUCCUCCUCAUCAUAGCAUCAUAUAUUACUCCACUUGAAACCAUUAUAUGCUUAUUCAACGAUAUCCUCUUCCUUCAUCCGGAAACAAAUUUUGACUGAUUGUCAAUCGAGUUGAAGUUACUCUAUUGGCUCAAUUCACAUUGUACCAACUUGUAAACCUUUGGAACUUCUUUUGUAUUACAAUUCUUUCCCUGAUUAUUGUAAUCCAACAAUCUUAGUGUCACAUCAAAGUAAAAGAUUACCAAGUCAAGAUGAAUGGGAAAACCAGUUAGAUCAUUGAACAUUCAAUUUCUAAUCCAACCAAUCUGUUAAUAAUAAUCAGAUUACCAUUACCCUCUGAACCAGUUGGAUGGCGGAGAAAGAACUAUCUUAAGAUUUUCUCCAUUCCUCACCAUAACUAACACUUCCAUCCAUGCAAUGUUAAUUUUAACAUUGAUUGUUAACAUGAUAACUGUAAAGCUUUAGACCUUACAAUUUGUCAUAAAUCCUUGCAUAUUAAUCAACCCAUUCCGAUGAUUUGCCAACUUGUUAUUUGAGCCUCAGUAAUUGUUUUAAUCAUUUCCUUUACUUAUUUGAAUAUUACAAAAUUUACACUCACUUGAAAUGGAUGAAACAUUUGAAACUAUCGCCUCACUGACGUGUAUAAUUUUAAACUUAAUUGGCCUUAAUUAAGCAUGAUGAUUCGUUGGCCGUUAAUUUUAUAAAAAAUGUGACUUACCAAAAAUUAAAACAUUCAUUCAGCAA